rnacentral:rRNA from 1 species
AUUGAACGCUGGCGGAAUGCUUUACACAUGCAAGUCGAACGGUAGAGGGGGCAACCCUUGAGAGUGGCGAACGGGUGAGUAAUAUAUCGGAACGUGCCCAGUCGUGGGGGAUAACGUAGCGAAAGUUACGCUAAUACCGCAUACGAUCUAAGGAUGAAAGCGGGGGACUCGCAAGAGCCUCGCGCGAUUGGAGCGGCCGAUAUCAGAUUAGGUAGUUGGUGGGGUAAAGGCUCACCAAGCCAACGAUCUGUAGCUGGUCUGAGAGGACGACCAGCCACACUGGAACUGAGACACGGUCCAGACUCCUACGGGAGGCAGCAGUGGGGAAUUUUGGACAAUGGGCGCAAGCCUGAUCCAGCAAUGCCGCGUGCAGGAAGAAGGCCUUCGGGUUGUAAACUGCUUUUGUACGGAGCGAAAAGGUCUUCCCUAAUACGGGAGGCUGAUGACGGUACCGUAAGAAUAAGCACCGGCUAACUACGUG